GAGCAAUGAGGAAAAUAAAAAAUGUACUGACAUAUCUGUGAAGACUGUCAGAUCCAACUCUGAGCUCACCAUUUUU